UCGACGAAUAGUACGAAUAGUCGACGAAUAGUGCAAUAGAGACUUUGCAAGGCUUUCCACCGUGCUGUAGAACUAAAUUUACCGAAGCGGGGCGGGGGGGGGGCUCUAUUGACAAACAUGAAAUUGUGAAAACAUUCGUUGAUGUCAAUGACGUCAUACGUAAUCGGUAAAAAUUACGGGACCACUGAGUUUUAACAAAUAUUUAACAGGAAGUAGAAUGACAAUCAGUGGCGCCGUGGGACCCAUGUUUUUUUUUUUGGGGGGGGGGCAAGGGCAGUACUUUUCCGACAAACCGAAAAAAUUUUCCGACAAACCAAAAAGUUUUCCGGACGACAACAUUUUAAAUCUUCACUCCCCCCCCCCGUCGACAACUUUGACAAUUUCCGAC